ACUGAGAAAGACUGAUGAGUGUGAAUUGGGAAUCCUUUUGUGAGACCUAGGCAAGUGGUUCUGAGGAAAGGGUAGGACUGAAGAGCAAACGAGGGGAUCUCAAGCAGGACAACAUGAACAAAGUUGCAAAGGCCUCCUCCAGAGCUGGGGAAGAGGAUUCAUGUUGGGUAGUCACAAAAGACAUGGAUGGAGAGGCCACCAGUUGGAUUGUCCCUCUUUUAUUUCGGUUGGCUAAAUUUGCUCCCUCUUUUGAACUCUCCUCCGGUCUUCUCCACAAAGCACUUUCCUUCGAAUACUCUGUUUUAUCGCUCUUAGUCUCCUACUCCGUCCUCACACCCUCACCUUUCCAAACCGCUAACCCCUGAGUUCCUAAUUUAGCCCUGUAGUCUCUCUGCAGCUUCUCGGCGGCUUUCAAGGUUCUCGUUCCCACUCCCGUACUCCCGCUGUCAUUUGUCCCCAGGCCCCGCCUCGCUCUGUCCACUCGGGCUCCACCUCCCUACCCCACAGCUCAUCCUACAUCCCUCCCGCUCACCCGGACCAGCAGACUCCGGGAUCCCUCCAAGAAGUGGCCGAAGGGAAGUAAAGCGCACGAACUCCACCCCGGUGCCAAAGGCCAGGAUGAAAGAGGCGAGGGCAGCAGAGACCAGGAGCAGAGCGGGGGCCAUGGCGACAAGCAAAGGGUGGAGAAAGGGGAGGGUUUGGGAUUCCCGCGGCCGCAGGCCCCGCCUCUUGCCCCGCCCAUGGCCGGACUCCAGUCCAGGAGGGCUGGGCUCCUGUGCCCGCCGCCACCCGGGCUUCCGGGUGGCCGCGCGCCUCUGUCUCUCAACCCGCAGCAGGGCUGGCAUCUGGUGCCUUCCCCAGCCAGCUACCUCCGCGUCACAGGGGGAAAUGUUAGAAUCCAAGUGAGAGGUGAAAAGGACAGCGGCUGUGCGGCCACUCGAAUGGGUUGAGUUGCUUCUUGUUUUUCCAAUAUAAAAUAAAGGCAGUAUGUUAAAAA